CCCUUUCUUGUCACAAUCAUCAAAAGCAAGUUAAAGGUUAGCCCACUAACCCUUUUAUCAAGAGCAAGUUAAAGGUGAGCCUACUAACCCUUUUAUCAAGAGCAAGUUAAAGGUGAGCCUACUAACCCUUUUAUCAAGAGCAAGUAAAAGGUGAGCCCACUAACCCUUUCGUGUCACCAUCACAAUGAGCAAGUUAAAGGUGAGCACACUAACCCUUUCUUGUCACAAUCAUCAAGAGCAAGUUAAGGGUGAGCCCACUGACCCUUUCAUGUCACCAUCACAAUGAGCAAGUUAAAGGUUAGCCCACUAACUCUUUCGUGUCACCAUCACAAUGAGCAAGUUAAAGGUGAGCCAACUAACCCUUUCAUCAAGAGCAAAUUUCAGGUAAGCCCACUAACCCUUUCGUGUCACCAUCACAAUGAGCAAAUUUAAGGUAAGCCCACUAACCCUUUCGUGUCACCAUCAUAAUGAGCAAGUUAAAGGUGAGCCCACUAACCCUUUCGUGUCACCAUCACAAUGAGCAAGUUAAAGGUGAGCCCUAUAACCCUUUUAUCAAGCAAGAGCAAGUUAAAGGUGAGCCCACAAACCCUUUUAUCAAGAGCAAGUUUAAGGUGAGCCCACUAACCCUUUCGUGUCACCAUCACAAUGAGCAAGUUAAAGGUUAGCCCACUAACCCUUUCUUGUCACAAUCAUCAAGAGCAAGUUAAAGGUUAGCCCACUAACCCUUUCAUUAAGAGCAAGUUUUUCGGUGAGUCCACUAACCCUUUCGUUUCAACAACACCAAGAGCAAGUUAGCCCAAUGACCUUUUCUUGUCACCAUAACCAAGGGCAAAUUUAAGAAGAGCCAAUUAACCACAAGGGGUAAAAAGGGAUCUUUGAAUAAUUAUUUGAAUAUUAGGAGGGGGAUGUGAAGAGAGGCUGCAAUGGUCA